rnacentral:rRNA from 1 species
CCUACGGGAGGCAGCAGUGGGGACUAUUGCACACUGGGGGAAACCCUGAUGCAGCGACGCCGCGUGAGUGAAGAAGUAUUUCGGUACGUAAAGCUCUAUCAGCAGGGAAGAAAAUGACGGUCCCUGACUAAGAAGCCCCGGCUAACUACGUGCCAGCAGCCGCGGUAAUACGGAGGGUGCAAGCGUUAUCCGGAUUUACUGGGUGUAAAGGGAGCGUAGACGGCAGCGCAAGGCUGGAGUGAAAUCCCAUGGCUUAACCAUGGAACUGCUUUGGAAACUGUGCAGCUAGAGUGCAGGAGAGGUAAGCGGAAUUCCUAGUGUAGCGGUGAAAUGCGUAGAUAUUAGGAGGAACACCAGUGGCGAAGGCGGCUUACUGGACUGUAACUGACGUUGAGGCUCGAAAGCGUGGGGAGCAAACAGGAUUAGAUACCCCUGUAGUC